AUUUCCAAAGUCAUGGUUUUGUUUGUUCAUUGGAUUACGAUUUUCCUUUCUUUUGAAAAAAUAUUUGAAAUCAAAAAUUGUUAAAAAUCGAAGACAUCUUCGUUAUGUUGUGCAGAUUACUAUGUAUUCAAUGGAAACUGUGUUCCUUGUCCAGUUGGACUGUUUGGACCAAACUGUAGUCACAUAUGUCCCUAUCCAUCGUAUGGUCACCGAUGUUUGGAGGGUAAUUGUCAAUGUCCUCCAGACUUGUGUGAUUCAAAGACCGGCUGCAGAAAUUCAUGUCCAUCCGGGACCUUUGGACCAGACUGUAAGUACGUCUGUACCUACCCUG